AACGCGAAGAACCUUACCCACCUUUGACAUGUACGGAAUCCUUUAGAGAUAGAGGAGUGCUCGAAAGAGAGCCGUAACACAGGUGCUGCAUGGCUGUCGUCAGCUCGUGUCGUGAGAUGUUGGGUUAAGUCCCGCAACGAGCGCAACCCUUGCCAUUAGUUGCUACGAAAGGGCACUCUAAUGGGACUGCCGGUGACAAACCGGAGGAAGGUGGGGAUGACGUCAAGUCCUCAUGGCCCUUAUAGGUGGGGCUACACACGUCAUACAAUGGCUGGUACAGAGGGUUGCCAACCCGCGAGGGGGAGCUAAUCCCAUAAAGCCAGUCGUAGUCCGGAUCGCAGUCUGCAACUCGACUGCGUGAAGUCGGAACCGCUAGUAAUCGCGGAUCAGAAUGUCGCGGUGAAUACGUUCCCGGGUCUUGUACACACCG
rnacentral:rRNA from 1 species